rnacentral:rRNA from 1 species
ACGAAGGCAGCAGUAGGGAAUAUUGCACAAUGGGGGAAACCCUGAUGCAGCGACGCCGCGCGAGUGAUGAAGUAUUUCGGCACGUAAAGCUCUAUCAGCAGGGAAGAUAAUGACGGUACCUGACUAAGAAGCCCCGGCUAACUACGUGCCAGCAGCCGCGGUAAUACGUAGGGGGCAAGCGUUAUCCGGAUUUACUGGGUGUAAAGGGAGUGUAGGUGGUCUGGCAAGUCAGAUGUGAAAGCCCGCGGCUCAACCGCGGGACUGCAUUUGAAACUGUCAGACUGGAGUGCAGGAGAGGAAAGUGGAAUUCCUAGGGUAGCGGUGAAAUGCGUAGAUAUUAGGAAGAACACCAGUGGCGAAGGCGGCUUUCUGGACUGUAACUGACACUGAGGCUCGAAAGCGUGGGGAGCAAACAGGAUUAGAUACCCUGGUA